UUGUCACCCACAACCCAUUUCCCUUGUGCCCCAAAACCCUCUCUCUCUCUCUCUCUCUCUCUCUCCCCCUCUCUCUCUCUCUCAGAAGCUCGUUGACCUCUCCGCCAUGCUCCACCAUGGAUUCCUCCCCACGCUUAGGGUUUCACUCUCCUUCUCCUCGCCACCACCUCCUCCCUCUCCAGCCGCCCCCGCGAGCCACCCCUUCCCGGAGCACUCCUCCCUCUUCAAGAUGAUCGCACGCUCGGAACAAAUUGAGAGAAGUUUUUUUUUUUUGGUGGGCGAGGCGUCUGGAAGCGGAUGAUCUUCUUCUUCUUUUUUUCCGAGCGCGAGAUUUUUUUUUUUCCCGAUCGUGCGUGCCGCGUGCGCGGGUUGCCUCCCGUUUUUUUGGGUGAAUAAUUUGGGGAUCGCGAAUUAUUCGCGAAUAACAGCCUCCAACUCAAAAAACGCGAAUUAUUUCGAAUUUUUGAAAAAAAUACGUAUUCAGACUAUUUUAUUCGCUAUUCAAAAAUUCGCGAAUAAUUCGUGAAUAAUUCGCGAAUUAACUAACAAAGAUUCAUACUAGAUAGAGCAUAUGUGAAUUUUAGAAUGCUUAAAAUGUAUAUGUUAUGUAUUAUGAAAUUUUACCUCUAUGUAGUAGAGAGAUUAGUACAUAGUAAUCACGCAAAUGAAUGGCAUUUUUGUAUGUGACUUGAAAUUAGGUUUCAUGUAGUACUGAAAAUGACAAGAAUAACAUGCUCUUGGACAUAGAACUCAUGCUUGACAUAGUGGACAUAAAUGUCAUAAAGAGGUAUUCAACUUAGUAAAUGGUUAAACUCUUACUUGAUGACAUAAUGAUAGGCUAUUGGGUCAUUAGCUUUUAUUCUAUAUUUUAGACAUGAUGACAUUGGACUUGAGACGGAUGACUACGCUUACUUGCCAUUGUGCUCAUUUGUACAUAUUUGUGAGGGUCGCUCCUCACAAGCCGGCACUCCGGAGAUAGCCAACGCGACAUAAGCUUGCCCAUGCGGGAUUGGGCGCCGAAAUGGGAUGCUGUCGAGGAGGCUCAUUCGUAGGAUGGGAAUGUUGACUAUCAUGGGGCCAUUAGGCACGGCGCAAGCCGGACUACCCUUGUGUAGAGCCUUCCACUCCGGGAGAGGUUAGGGACUACGGCAAGGGUUUUGCCUUUAGCUAGUUGCGAGAAGCUUUGCUAUUAGGUGGUUUAUCUUUUCUUUUUGUAUUAUUUGGAGAGAGUGGAAGCUUUUGUACCUAUGGGUAGAGACCACCAUUUUUGUAUAUCUAGCUCUUGUAUUUGGAAUUUAUGAUGUAUUACUUUAUGGUUUACGUUAGUGAAUUAGUUCUUUUAUAUA